UCACGGAUCCAAGUGACCUCACUCUUAUCACAAGCACAAUUCCACACUAAAUCUUUUAACUCCUCCUCCGAGAACACCCUAUCCAAUUAAGAUAUUUGAGAUUCUGAAAGGAUAGAGAAUUCCACACCAUCAAUCAUAGGAUUAGAUCUUUGAACGCAAUUGAACAAAUAUUUAAAGUAACUAGUGACCCCAUAUGAAAUGUCCUUCUCAUCGGCACACCAUACCCCAUCAAUCCAAACCCCUACUAAUUGUUUCCUCCAACGCCUAGUAUUAAUACAAGCAUAGAAAUAGCUAGUAUUAGCAUUACCCUCCUUCAGCCACCUGUUUCUCGAUUUUUGAAGCAAGAAACUCUCCUUCAUAUUAGCAGUAUUCCACCACUCCGCAAGAAGAUUCUUUUUCAACAAAAUUUGAUCCAUUUCCAAAUCUGCUAGUUCACCAUCACAAUCAAUACUAAGGAUGGCCUUAGAAAUAUCAACCAGUUUACUGUCCACACA
rnacentral:lncRNA from 1 species